GGCUGAAUUCCAUUUAGCUGCUUUGAUUUCGGGAUCCUGGUAUAGUGCAUGCUUGCUCACUGUCACUCUCACUGGACUCUUGAAUCGAACGGAGCCAAUCCGAGCCUCGUUAGUAACACCUGUGCUUUUCCUGCUCCAAGUCAAAAUGUCUCCUGUGAGAAAGUCGUAUGCUCCAGUGUAAAAUGUGCAGUGUCAAAGUUAAUCGACGAGUCAACUGUUAUUAAAACAACAGUUGGAGCAAGAAGCUCCCCAGCUUUUAUGAUAUUUUUUUGUAGAUAGAAAACGCAGUUUGAAAAGUACUCUGAAGAGCUCCGUCCACAUCGGUUGAACCACACAGUCUAUGGUUUGAAGCGACCAGGUACUUUCCUUCACGUCGCCUUUUCUCCUCUUCAGCAGACUCUGAUGGAGUGAGACUUCAUCCUGCAGUGUGGAGAAGAUAUAGCUGUCACGUUUUUGGAGAGGAUGGGACAGUGAUCUUGCUUCCAUCUUCAAUUAUCCUCAUCCACCUGAUUCCUCUGGAAGCUUAAGGCCGGAAGAGACCAGGCAAGGUGUCUGCAUCCCUGAGGUGGAUCUUCUCAUGUUCAAGGUGAGCAAACAUCCAGGAGCAAGUUGAUGCCACCAGUAGCACCACUCAACCCUAUCCACUAGCCAUUGGGAUGAAGAGGAGUAUCCAUGAUUUCUUCAUUUUUCUGGACAAGCAGAGUCAACCAGCUGGCUGGAUUGGACCCUUCGGCAGGCCAGUUCUGGCCCGCGGGCUGUUUGUGUGACACCCAUGAUGUAGACAGUACCCUCAUCCACGACCCUCAUAAUGUGAAAGCCUCCAGACCCUAUAGAUUCAUGGGCAUUCUUGCAUGAAACCACACAUUUGGGAUCCAUAACCUUGCCUUUUUGCUGCUGUAGCCACUGAAGUUUCGACUUGGCCCUGUGUUUGGGAUCGUUGUUGUGUUGGAUGGUCCAAAGGGUUCCCAUGUGCAGCUUCCAGACUGAUGAUUGCAAAUGGUCCUCUUAUAUUUUCUGAUAACAUGCUUCCUUCUUUCUACCAUCAAUGUUAACUAAAUUCCCUGUACCUCUGUAGGCCCCCUGUUGUACUUUUCAUCAUAGGCUUUGUCGACUCCUCUCCAAACAUAGCAUUUAUGGUCGUAACCAAAGUAAAAUUGUGGUCUAAUGAUUUUGUCUUGG